UUUUUCAAUUCAAAGAUAAUCAUAGCGCUGCUCAGAUAUGAUAUGUAAAGAUGGCAUGCUUCAAUCAACGGACUCAAGGCUCCCAACUAGCAUAUAUAGGUGACAUGCAAUAGUUACCAUUUAAAUAAAUACUUCUAAAUGAGUAAAUAAUAUCUGUUCAUGCUCAAGACCCUACCUCUUACCAUAACCGAUACAAAAUCCAUGUACCCUGAUAUAAAAUUCAUGUAUUCCAUACAAAAUUCAUGUAUUACAGUAACCAAUACAAAAUCUACGUAUUGACCCGAUAUAUAAUUCGUAUAUCGACCACGCUCAAAUUAACAUGGGUAUACCUGACUCCGAGGGAAUGGUAACAAAUCCAAGCACAAAAAGAAGCUUGAUAGCUCACCUAUGAUUAAAUAUCCGCUCAUCAUGUCAUGUUCCAUAAUUGUAUCUCAACCGCACGAAACUGUCUUUCGUGCCACAAUUUGAGUCCAAUUCAAGUAUCCAAAUAUAACACAUAUGUUUGUGCCUAAGAAUUAAUAGAUAAAAGAUGCACAGGAACUUAAUAAUAAUCAUGUGAAUAUGUGCUCAAGAAAUUUCUAUAUGACAGCAGAUGAUUCAAGCAAUUCAACAUAUCAAGAACAAGCUCCCAUAUCUUCAUAAAUAACCAUAAAUCUGGGUAUGAUCUCAAACACGAAUAAGAGGUGAAUGUAUUCAUACAAGUCAAACAAAUCAUAAGUCAAGAUGAGCACAUAAUUAAAAAAAGGCAUAAAGUAUCUCAAUUGUACCCGGACAUGAUAUAAUUUUUGUAAGUGCAUAUACGCUCGACAUCCCGUAUAUACAUACCCCCAAUACCAUAAACACAUAACAAUCAAGUAAAAUCCUAGGGGUUUCCCUCUUAAUAAGAUUAGCCAUGAGACUUACCUCUUUCUUGCCUAGCCUCAAUCAAAAAUUGCGUCAAAACCUCGCUCCAGCCCUCAAUCAUGAAAAUCCAAGUCAAGCUUCAUCCAAGGAAGUCAAACAAUGUUAUAGGAAGUGAAUAGAACUUCAAUCUUUGAUGAAUUCCCAAAAAGUCAACCUGGACGCAUGUGCCCGAAAUUCGAAACCAUUACUAAAAUCCGAUGACCCAUAACCUACUGAGUCGAAAUAUAAUUAGAUCCAAAUCCGGAUCUAAUCGAUGGUCAAAAUUACAAAAUACAAUCUCUUAAAAGUAUAGGCAAAAACCCCAAAUUUUCUUUCAAUAUUUUUGGAUGUAGGAGUCCAUGUAGAUCUUUGAAUUAUAAUCACAAAUAGGUAGAAAUCACUUUCCCUCUUGCCUUGCAUGAAAAUCCCCAUGAAAAAUCACCUAUUUCCAAGUCUAUGGCUUAGAAUAUGAGAGCCUGAGUAAAAGUCUUGAAAUAAUAUCUUAAAUAAUCUGCCCAGAAGUACCCUUCGCGAACAUGGCACAAGUUUCGCAUUCGCGAAGCACAAAACACUGCUGCUCAGGAAAAUGCUCUACGCGAUCGCGAAAGAGGCCAUGCAAUCGCGAAGGCCUGCUGCUCUCACAACAUCGCGAAGCGUCUGACCAACCGCGAAUGCAUUAACCAGACACCGGCCACGCUCCCGUUCUACGCGAACACAAUUAGAGACAUGUGAACUCGUAUACCAGUCUGCUUACAACACGUGAACGUGAAGGAACCAUUGCGAACACGAAGCACAAAGCCCUGAUUGGCCAAAUUCUUCUCUGCAAUCUUGAUCCUAGCUCCGCGAUCGCGAAGCACUCCAGAAUACCAGCAACACAGCAGCUCCAAACUCAACCAAAAUGGUCUGAAACCAUCCCCAAACACACCUGAGCCCCUCGAGACUCCGUCCAAUCAUGAAAACAAGUCCAAAUACAUUAUCCAAAUUUAUUCAAAGACUUGAAACAUUGCAAAUAAUAUUAAAACCACGAAUCGAAGAUUAAAAUUAUUCUCUUAACUUUCGAACAUGCCUAUUUCGUCGAACUCAUCCGAAUUACGCUCAGACAUUCCGGAUUACAGUUAAAUUUUGCACACGUAUUCCAUCCAACUAAAUGAAAAUUUUCAAGGUCUCAAAAACACAAUCCGAGUCUGAUAACACCAAAGUCAACUUCCGUUUAAACUUAUGAACUUU
rnacentral:lncRNA from 1 species